AGUGAACGCUGGCGGCGUGCCUAAUACAUGCAAGUCGAACGGAGUGGCGCACGGGUGAGUCAUAUAGAGCUAAUCUGCCCCUUGCUGGCGGACAUUAGUAAGAAAUGCCUGCUAAUACUCCAUAGGAUGGGAUGAGACUAUAUCGUAUCAGCUAGUCGGUGGGGUAACGGCCUACCGAGGCUAUGACGCGUAACUGGUCUGAGAGGAUGAUCAGACACAUUGGAACUGAGACGCGGUUCAAACUCCUACGGGAGGGAGCAGUAGAGUAUAUGGCGAAAUGGGGGAAACCCUGACGAAGCAACGCGGCGUGGAGGAGAACACUUUUCGGAGCGAAAACUCCUUUUGUUAGGGAAGCGGUACCUAACGAAUGAGCACCGGCUAACUCCGUGCCAGCAGCCGCGGUAAUUC
rnacentral:rRNA from 1 species